UGCCUGUAAGACUGGGAUAACUCCGGGAAACCGGGGCUAAUACCGGAUGCUUGUUUGAACCGCAUGGUUCAAACAUAAAAGGUGGCUUCGGCUACCACUUACAGAUGGACCCGCGGCGCAUUAGCUAGUUGGUGAGGUAACGGCUCACCAAGGCAACGAUGCGUAGCCGACCUGAGAGGGUGAUCGGCCACACUGGGACUGAGACACGGCCCAGACUCCUACGGGAGGCAGCAGUAGGGAAUCUUCCGCAAUGGACGAAAGUCUGACGGAGCAACGCCGCGUGAGUGAUGAAGGUUUUCGGAUCGUAAAGCUCUGUUGUUAGGGAAGAACAAGUACCGUUCGAAUAGGGCGGUACCUUGACGGUACCUAACCAGAAAGCCACGGCUAACUACGUGCCAGCAGCCGCGGUAAUACGUAGGUGGCAAGCGUUGUCCGGAAUUAUUGGGCGUAAAGGGCUCGCAGGCGGUUUCUUAAGUCUGAUGUGAAAGCCCCCGGCUCAACCCGGGAGGGUCAUUGGAAACUGGGGAACUUGAGUGCAGAAGAGGAGAGUGGAAUUCCACGUGUAGCGGUGAAAUGCGUAGAGAUGUGGAGGAAGACCAGUGGCGAAGGCGACUCUCUGGUCUGUAACUGACGCUGAGGAGCGAAAGCCUGGGGAGCGAACAGGAUUAGAUACCCUGGUAGUCCACGCCGUAAACGAUGAGUGCUAAGUGUUAGGGGGUUUCCGCCCCUUAGUGCAGCAGCUAACGCAUUAAGCACUCCGCCUGGGGGAGUACGGUCGCAAGACUGAAACUGAAACGAAUUGACGGGGGC
rnacentral:rRNA from 2 species